GACGAACGCUGGCGGCGUGCCUAAUACAUGCAAGUAGAACGCUGAAGGAGGAGCUUGCUUCUCUGGAUGAGUUGCGAACGGGUGAGUAACGCGUAGGUAACCUGCCUGGUAGCGGGGGAUAACUAUUGGAAACGAUAGCUAAUACCGCAUAAUAGUAGAUGUUGCAUGGCAUUUGCUUAAAAGGUGCAAUUGCAUCACUACCAGAUGGACCUGCGUUGUAUUAGCUAGUUGGUGGGGUAACGGCUCACCAAGGCGACGAUACAUAGCCGACCUGAGAGGGUGAUCGGCCACACUGGGACUGAGACACGGCCCAGACUCCUACGGGAGGCAGCAGUAGGGAAUCUUCGGCAAUGGACGGAAGUCUGACCGAGCAACGCCGCGUGAGUGAAGAAGGGUUUCGGAUCGUAAAGCUCUGUUGUAAGAGAAGAACGAGUGUGAGAGUGGAAAGUUCACACUGUGACGGUAGCUUACCAGAAAGGGACGGCUAACUACGUG
rnacentral:rRNA from 1 species